rnacentral:rRNA from 1 species
GACGAACGCUGGCGGCGUGCUUAACACAUGCAAGUCGUACGGUAAGGCCCUUUCGGGGGUACACGAGUGGCGAACGGGUGCGUAACACGUGAGUAACCUGCCCACAACUUUGGGAUAACGCUAGGAAACUGGUGCUAAUACUGGAUAUGUGCUCCUGCUGCAUGGUGGGGGUUGGAAAGCUCCGGCGGUUGUGGAUGGACUCGCGGCCUAUCAGCUUGUUGGUGGGGUAGUGGCCUACCAAGGCGGCGACGGGUAGCCGGCCUGAGAGGGUGACCGGCCACAUUGGGACUGAGAUACGGCCCAGACUCCUACGGGAGGCAGCAGGGGGGAAUAUUGCACAAUGGGCGCAAGCCUGAUGCAGCAACGCCGCGUGCGGGAUGACGGCCUUCGGGUUGUAAACCGCUUUCAGCAGGGACGAAGCUUUUUGUGACGGUACCUGCAGAAGAAGCACCGGCUAACUACGUG